rnacentral:rRNA from 1 species
GACGAACGCUGGCGGCGUGCUUAACACAUGCAAGUCGAGCGGUAAGGCCCUUUCGGGGUACGACGAGCGGCGAACGGGUGGAGUAACACGUGGGUGGACCUGCCCUCAGCUCUGGGAUAAGCCUGGGAAACCGGGUACUAAUACCGGAGUAUGACUCCAUGACGCAUGUUGUGGGGUGGAAAGCCUUGUGCGGCUGAGGAUGGGCCCGCGGCCUAUCAGCUUGUUGGUGGGGUGAUGGCCUACCAAGGCGACGACGGGUAGCCGGCCCG